GGGGAAGACAAAGAGCUCGGCCCGGGCGUAUGAGCGUCCACAAACCCUUGAUCGCUGCCACGUGGCUCUGGGGCUACUUCUGUUAAGCUUAUUUCCUCUCCUUUUAAUCCCUGCGCAAUCAGCGCGCCGCGCUCCCGAAUCUCCUUGAAUUCAGUUCAUUUGAUGGCCCCCCGGAUACUCAACCCAGCCUAAGAGGUGAGCGCAAUAAUUCGUUUAAUGAAUUAUCCGCUCGCUCGUUCGUUCGUUUGACCCCCCGCUCUCGAGAACAAACCGCACCGUUUACCUGUGCGCGCACACACACACACACGCACACGCACACGCACACGCGCGAGCCUGGGCACCUCUACCCACAAACGCAAAACAGGAAAUCCCAAAAGUGCUGUUUUAAAUCCCUCAGACAGCCGUUCCCCACACACACACACACACACACCCAUCACAGCCACAUGCCCACUGUAAUCCCCAUGAUUAGGUCAUUAUUUUCUCUUGGGUUGGCAUUGCGGCUCUGAUCAUGUCUGAUAGCUUUUAUACUACCAACCUGCUGACUGCAUUUUAUCGAUCCGGCACGUGUGUACUCUGUGGGUGCAUGUCUGAGUGUGUGUGUGUGUGUGUGAGUGUGCGUGAGUGUGUGUGUGUGCGCGUGUAUGCUUGUGUGUGCGGUUGUAUUUGUUUUGGGAGGUGGUGACCCAAUUAGUCUGAUUAAAAUCCCACCUGUCACACCCACCCCCCCAGAACAGACACACUCCCAUGGCCAAAAGCUCCCUCAUUAAAGCCAAUAGACAUUACAUUAGAAUUAAAGCCAAUAGACAUUACAUUAGAAUUAAAGCCAAUAGACAUUACAUUAGAAUUAAAGCCUGAUAUGAUGCAGUAUGAUGGAGAGGCGAGGGGCAAGGGGAAAACUAAAGAGCAGUUUGAUUGUGAGAGGACACAUCCUGGUGUCUUUUCCUGCAGAGUGUCCUACAGAGAGGGUGUCAUCUAUAAUUGAUGUGCCGAGCUCACAGGCUCUCUGAGCUGACAGGGGGAGAGAGGGACGCUGCCCUUUCACAGACGCAUUCACACUGUGCAUCUGAAAUAAACACCGGAGACCCAAAAAAGUAAACACCAGCCACCAGGAGCAUCCUGAUCAUCAGUGGGGGAAUAUAAUAAAGAUAACACGCCGGGUCGACCCUCAGGUGACGACUACUGGAUGGCGGCUCCUGGCCUGAGCGAGAAAGCCCUCAGGUGUAGGAGCGGAGGUUACUCUUCAACAAAAAAAAAAACGGCCCAGCCACCUUCCGUAAUGUCCCUUUGGUAACCCCAGACUUAUUACACGUCUAUAAGCAUGACGUGUUCGAGGCCAAGACAACAAGUAACGUGUCUCUCUGCUUGACAAAACAAAUGGAAUGAGAUAAGCGUGUGUAUUUAAAGUAGAUUACAGAUGUGUUGUUUAAAGAGGGCCGUGGUGACAAACAGAAUGUCACCCUAAUGUCCAUCUCGCACGGAGAGAUGCGCCGAGAUGCAGCUGUGCCACUGCAUCUAUUGUGACAAGCGAGAGGCACAAGAAACAACAAAUUCACAUGGACAACUAUGGAGGGGAAAAUGUGUGCCUGUCAAACAGCCUCCUGUUGUAGCAUUUCACAUGAGACUUGCCAAGCAAUGGCAGCAUUUAUUAAAGCACAACACCAGCAGUCAGGGCUGGACACACUACAGAAUCAGUGGCGAGCAGGGAGACCCUGACCAGGAAUGUGAGAGCCCAUUCAGUGGGUUUAAAAAUGCAUUGCACUCACAACAAAGGCUUGCCUUGUGCUCAUUGUGGACUUGGGAGACCAAUGAAAUACUUCCACACUUCCACCGAAACAUGAAAUUUGCUCAUUUUUCUUUAACUCCUACGCCCCUCCUUAAGGGAGAGGGACUAGGGUACCAGAAGACAUGGUGAAUUUAGAGAAGAUCUGAGAGCUCACAAUGCCACUGUGGUUACCAUCAACAUUCAAUUUGGCGUGACUGAUUUUAUCUGGGGAAACGUAUAGCAAAGCCACCCCCCAUGAUCCUUCCUAAUUUACAUUGAUUAUUUCCAUUUGAAUAACUGAAAUCUGAGUCAUUUCAUCGAGUUUUCAAUAUACACUGUUCUAAAUACUAAAUAGUACAACAGCUAUUUGGAGAUGGCCAUCAAGAAGUUACAAAAUCACUGACACCAUAAAAUGGCUCCUCGAACACAACAAAACCUUGUUGCACUACAAGUACAUGCUCAUGAAAAGUCCAUUUUAAAUGAUCUUCUCUUCACCAUGUCAAUUUGAAUAAGUCAAGCACUUAGGCUAACAGGAAAAGAUCUUCUUGUUAUCCAGAAACUGUUGUAAUAACAUACAUAGAUGUUACUUCAUUUAUUUUACCUUCAAAACCUUGCACUGGUUAAGGUUAACGUUCAUCAAUGAAGCAGAGAUUACGCUAGAGAUUAUAAUCUAGCCUGCUCUACUCCAGACCUUCUCUGUAGUUCUUGAAUAACAUUCAAAUCUAGUUAAAAAAAACAAUGUUGAAUCUACAACUGAUUAGGCCUACUUAUUUUGUAAACAAAGCCUUGCAAGAAUUUUUAAUAAGUAUAAUCUUAACAUCAGUCAUUGUUUCUCCCAACCCAGAAUUUGGAUGCAAGUUUCUUUGAAGUUUGAAAGUGUUUGGAAGGAACCCUCAAAACUAACUCAAACAUCUGGAUUCACCAGCGCCGCCAACUCUACAGUGGUCAUUUUUUGUCUGCUUGGAUUAAGAGGCGAUUUAUCUAAUUCAGAACAGUAGGUGGCGCAAAAUACAAAUUGUGUUAGAUCAAAAUUAACAGUUUCUAAUCCAAUUAAAACGGCGGUGAAGUGGAUGUUUCUGCUGGGUUCAAAAGAAAGCACCUGCGAGUUAGUGGCUUGUUUUUAUUUCUUAUUUUAGAAAUUAGUAUAAAACGACUUGUUUUACCGAUCCUGUUAGUCUGCGUUGUUUCUAAGCCUGUUUUGACUACAGCCUACUUGGUUCUGAAAUAGGUUACCGGAGUCAGAACAUACACAAAACUGACUACGAGUCUUCAGUUGUAUGUUUUGUAUCAAUCAAUGAUGAUACAAAUUCCAUUAGGCUACAUGCCGCUUUUUUUGGCACUGUCAGCGUUGUACCGGGGUAAACUCUACUAACAGGUAACGGAUCACUAUUCAGCGAGGUGAGGAUAAUCUUGCAGCCUACUAGUUUUAAUUUAGCUGACAGUGAUGACCCGGCGAGGGUAAGACCGCUCAGCAAAGACCAUGAAAGGUUCAACAUGUAACCGUUUUAAAAAUGGCAAAGCAGCCUAGAUGAUGAAGCUGAACAUUUAUUCAAAAUGCAUAGCCUAAGCAUAAGAGCGUUACAAAGAGGAAGUGGAUCCAGUUAAAUGAGAAAACGAAAUCUUAUCACAUCAACUUCCUUACCAGAAGACGUAGCCUGUCAACCAUUCCUCUAGAACACCUAUCUGAAUUCCUGAAUCGUCCGAAGGAAACCGAUAUUGCCAGAUUGGAUAUAAUAUUUAUAUCGACGUGUGUAAUUUCACAUGCGCUACGCUCUGUAGAAUAUAUCCUUCCAUUGCAUGGCAAAUUCCUGACGUGUUUUGCUCAACCUUCUUUCGGCGCCGUAUAGACUACAGGUUCCGUUCUCUCUCUCUCUCUCUCUCUCUCGUUUCACUUGUGCAAAGAAUGUAGAGCGGCCGCGUGACGUCCCUCCAACUAAACACGGAUGACAACCAGCUCCAGGGUGAACAGAGGGAAACAAAAAGUUGCUAAAGCAAAUCUAAGAAACGGUCAAGAGAAAAAACACCCACCCCAAACUGCCUUCAACACAUACCCUACACAAACAUUGGUAGACAACGCGAAAAUGAUUGCGCAGUAGCCUGAUUGCUGUCAGCUAUUCCAAGCAAAGGCUGUCUGUUGUGACUAUAGCCUACCACUGCAACUUUUUGGGAUAGCCAAGGAAUGUAUCGCUAAACAAUGUGCGAAGGACCACCUAAGUCACUAACAUCAAUAAACAAAUUGAUGCUUUCAUAAUGGAUGAAUUAAUCUAGCCAAACUCUGGCACCGACAAAGUGACUUCGAAAUGACAGUGCUGGCAGGAAAUGGGGGAGUUUGUUCUUCUAAGUAAUGUCUCUCCCUUAUGCAAGGCCUUGUGCACUUGUACACAACAAUACAGUUCCAGUUAAUUCCAAAAAACUGCGCGUCACUACCAGAAAUUCCAUAGCCUACCUCCAAAAAAUUGCAAUUUAUUGACUUGACGAAACCUAGGUAAUUCGUUAUACGAUGUUGAUACGGCAGCCUACAAAAGCCCACUUUGUGAAAAUAAAGAAUUGGCUAUAGUCUCUAGUCUCUGUCUUCACAUCGCUGGAAAAAUAACUUCCGCUGCUGAAUCUGCCUGGUCCACAGAGAAUUGACCUGCGAACAAUAGAUGUCUUCUGAUAAAUCACGUAGUCCAAAACUGUUUGACAUUGAGACGGUUUGACACAGCUUUCGUAAUCUAGUUGAUAGGCAACUAGACCCACCAACCGACUAAAAAAGGUAACCUACAUUAAGACAGCACCGACUGACAACGCUCGUUUGCUUUUAAUGCGCAAACACUGUCGUUUCCAUAAAACGGUCACCACGUGUGAUUUUUUUAAUCAAGUAAUUAGCUAGAUCACGUUGCUCUCCAUGCGCCUUCAUUUUCUCUAUGUAGGCUGAUGUUAGACACAAUGUAGCCAACAGGAUAAAUGGAAGAUCGAGUUUAUAAUGUCGUCAUUUCAAACUUAUACAAAAUUAGAGAAGGCGACCCCCCUCCCCCCUUUCCACCCGCAUCCAACAGAUCCAUGUCCCCCCUCCUCCUCACAGUACAUAUAGGGUAGAGACAGUAGUCGCGACCCAUCCCUUGCAAAAUAGGCAUAGCAUCUAACUACCCCCACUGCUUAAUCUUCCUGAAAGCUGUUUUGUUUCUUAGGGUACCUGACGCCAAGUAAACGUAGCACUUCAUCGACAACCUAAUAUGCCCGAUUUAUGUUAAGAUUAACGAUUCGACAGUAUGGGAGCAUCCAGUGCUUGGGGAAAUAUCGCUUUUCACAGUAUACUCACCUAAGAAAAGGGUGGUAUGUUUAAGAGCCUACAAGUUUUUUCCACAAUGAAACAUCUCAAAUACCUUUUCGGAACAGCUGACGCAGCACUGGAUGUGCUUCUCUUGGCCACUAGUAAACUAACAGCCAACGGUCGAACAUGUUUUCAUUUUCAUAAAUAACCCGAUUAGGUGUUUUUAUUAAAAUGAUGAAUCAUCAAGGAUCAAGGGGAGACAAAUUGUCUACGACCCAUAGUGAAAAUAGGAAGCAUCGUGUUACUGUCUAACAGCAGUGCAGCCUAUCCUACAAUCCUACAAAUGAAUGGAUACAACAAAGUUUAUUCACUGCUUAUCAAGAACAACGCGUGGUUUAUUUUAAAAGUAUGUGAAUGAGUCUUCGACGGCAUGACAGCGCAAAAUGGACUUACAGAGUUUUCUUUCAACUUACCCAAGUGAAUAGCCUGCGCGAUGCCGAACAUCAAUCAGGGAAAAAUUAGGAUGGUUCGAGUGGGAAGACUACGAGGGCUGAAGGUGAAACCAUGCGCUGUGUGGAGACCUGCAAAUGAUUGAGUGAGCCGCGACCAUUGCUCUGAAGGGGAUCACUAAAAAGUGUUUAUACUUUCUAAUCGAAAUUUGAAGCGAUUCGUCUUGUACACCAUUUUGAAGGGCAGCUCAAAAUUAUUUCAUGAACUGAUAAAAGCUGUAGGCUAUUUUAGGUCAUUUUAUCUACUGUGUUUACAAUUUGGUUUGUGACGCACCUUUCCGUUUCGGUGAUUGGUUUGUCCCGUAUUAAACAGAGUCGGUUCAUGCCACUGAGCUUUCCGAAGUCUUAUCGACUCUUCAGUGAAUGCUGAUCAAGUAACAAGUCACUCAUGUUUUUUUCGUUGAUUAACUUUAUACACGUUGUACAUGAUUGGAAAAUUCAAGAGUCCAAAGACCUUAAUGAAUGUAUCUAAGCAAAGACAGACCAUUUGAUCUUUUCUAUUGUCUGUCUAAGUUGGCCCAUAUACAUCAUGUGUGUUUGUAUUGAAUACAUUGAAAUGGGUUGUCUUUUUCUACAUUCAUUUAUCAAAGAUACAUUUUAUUAGGGUUAUGUAGUAAUGUACUCAAUUCAAUGUAUUCAAAAACUAACAUUUGUAAUGCUUACUGUAAAUACAUUGUCAUUAAUAUGUUAAGAUACAACAAAUGACUGUACACACCAUGAUGUGUAUAAAUGCAUGACCAUGCCCGACCUCCAAAUACAUUAUUUAACCAUGGAUAGACACAACUGAAGUGACCAGAAUGCUGUUUAUGGUUUGUUGUUUCCUAAGAUAGGUUUUUUUCCAGUGUUUGCUUGAGAAGGAAGAAACCAGAUUAUAACUUCUGGCAUCGGUAGUGAUCCAGUGAUUUUAGGCUUUUG
ensembl:lncRNA